UUGAAAGCAGGUUAACAGGAAGUCAAACUCUUGUUAAAAUUCCCCAUUGACACUGAUGCACGAUCAGCUUCCCCAAAACCAUUAUAAUAAAAGAAGACAGGUCUAUGAUCAGUAUACAGAUAAAAUCGACUACUGAGGAAUUUGCUGUUUGAAUUCUUACCAUGCUGAUUUAGUUUUUGGGUUACACUUUAUUUCGAUUGUCCACUUGAUAUCAAAAUUGAAAAUACUGUGAAAACAAAGACGCCUACAUCUUGGAUGCCCUUGAGAUCUGGAGAAGAGCUUGAUGCUGGCAGGGGCUGAGCUGGACGAGGAGCGGAAGAUACCACUUAAACUGAGACGGCGAGGAGAUUUGGGAGGUGAGUCCAGGUGAGAAGAUAGUGGACGUGUGAAGAUGGUUUUAGGAGAUCCUGGA